GAGAUACAGGUCUGUGUAACUGUGAGGUACAGGGCUCGAGAAAGGGAUGGAAAGUGAGUUCACCUGAUCUUGGAAGCUGAGAACGGGCUGACCUGGUUGGAAGGUGGAUGGAGAAGAAGCAGCAAGGAACUCCUCAUGGGUUGGAUGAGGCCCAGCUCUGCUCCAUGGGAGUCAAGGUGAUGGGGAGAAAGUUGAGUGAUGACCCAAAAGACGUUUGCAUUUCUAGCAGUGUCCAUGGCUCAGCUGCAGCCCAGGAAGUGCCCAGGUCCUGGGUACAUAGCGACGGGAGGAGCAUUGAUCUGCUAGAAGCUGUGCCAAGGUCCGUGGGAACCGCAACCCCUUCCCCUCGACAUCUUGCCAGCAGCACUGGAUUAAUCUCUGAGAACAAGCACUCUGGGUUCCCAGAGGCAAAACAGGCUUUUGAUUUCUAUGAGCUAAGACUCCUCUGCAGGAGCGUGGUCUUGUGCCUUACUGUCAUUGCUUCUUACAAGGAUCACAUAAGCCAAAGAUCCCAGGAACCUCCUGUGGGCAAAUAAGAAGAACAGGGUAAAGUUGUGGGGUGGACAAGGGAGUGACGCUGGAUACAGCUAUUCCUGAAAGCGCUUACACUUGACACUAAGUUAAUAGAGUCUCUCUCUCACUC
ensembl:antisense Csmd2os CUB and Sushi multiple domains 2, opposite strand